UACGAGGGAUGCAAGCGUUAUCCGGAAUUAUUGGGCGUAAAGCGUCCGCAGGUGGCUCUGUAAGUCUGUCGUUAAAGAAUGGGGCUCAACCCCAUACAGGCGAUGGAAACUACAAGGCUAGAGUUUGGUAGGGGUCACGGGAAUUCCUAGUGUAGCGGUGAAAUGCGUAGAUAUUAGGAAGAACACCAGUGGCGAAGGCGCUCUACUGGGCCAUUACUGACGCUGAUGGACGAAAGCUAGGGGAGCGAAAGGG
rnacentral:rRNA from 1 species